UUUGGUUUGCUUGCAAACCAAAGCUGGCGACCGGCGCACGGGUGAGUAACACGUAUCCAACCUGCCUCAUACUCGGGGAUAGCCUUUCGAAAGAAAGAUUAAUAUCCGAUAGCAUAUAUUUCCCGCAUGGGUUUUAUAUUAAAGAAAUUCGGUAUGAGAUGGGGAUGCGUUCCAUUAGUUUGUUGGGGGGGUAACGGCCCACCAAGACUACGAUGGAUAGGGGUUCUGAGAGGAAGGUCCCCCACAUUGGAACUGAGACACGGUCCAAACUCCUACGGGAGGCAGCAGUGAGGAAUAUUGGUCAAUGGACGCGAGUCUGAACCAGCCAAGUAGCGUGAAGGAUGACUGCCCUAUGGGUUGUAAACUUCUUUUAUAUGGGAAUAAAGUUGUCCACGUGUGGAUUUUUGUAUGUACCAUAUGAAUAAGGAUCGGCUAACUCCGUGCCAGCAGCCGCGGUAAUACGGAGGAUCCGAGCGUUAUCCGGAUUUAUUGGGUUUAAAGGGAGCGUAGGCGGAUUGUUAAGUCAGUUGUGAAAGUUUGCGGCUCAACCGUAAAAUUGCAGUUGAUACUGGCAGUCUUGAGUGCAGUAGAGGUGGGCGGAAUUCGUGGUGUAGCGGUGAAAUGCUUAGAUAUCACGAAGAACUCCGAUUGCGAAGGCAGCUCACUGGAGUGUAACUGAC
rnacentral:rRNA from 1 species